rnacentral:rRNA from 1 species
AUUGAACGCUGGCGGCAGGCCUAACACAUGCAAGUCGAACGAGUGGCGGACGGGUGAGUAAUGUCUGGGAAACUGCCCGAUGGAGGGGGAUAACUACUGGAAACGGUAGCUAAUACCGCAUACCAUCGGAUGUGCCCAGAUGGGAUUAGCUAGUAGGUGGGGUAACGGCUCACCGAGGCGACGAUCCCUAGCUGGUCUGAGAGGAGGACAAGCCACACUGGAACUGAGACACGGUCCAGAUCCCUACGUGAGGAAGCAGUGGGGAAUAUGGCACAAUGGGCGCAAUCCUGAUGCAGCCAUGCCGCUUGUAUGAAGAAGGCCUUCGGGUUGUAAAGUACUUUCAGCGAGGAGGCGUUACUCGCAGAAGAAGCACCGGCUAACUCCGUGCCAGCAGCCGCGGUAAUUC